rnacentral:rRNA from 1 species
GACGAACGCUGGCGGCGUGCCUAAUACAUGCAAGUCGAACGCAGUGGGGACGGGUGAGUAACACGUGGGUAACCUCCCAUCAGAGGGGAUAACACUUGGCAAAAGGUGCUAAACCGCUACUGGUGGAUGGACCCGGGGGGCAUUAGCUAGACGGUGGGGUAACGGCUCACCAAGGCCACGAUGCAUAGCCGACCUGAGAGGGGGUUCAGCCAAACUGGGACGUAGACACGGCCCAGACUCCUACGGGAGGCAGCAGUAGGGAAUCUUCGGCAAUGGACGAAAGUCUGACCGAGCAACGCCGCGUGAGUGAAGAAGGUUUUCGGAUUGUAAAGCUCUGUUGUUAGAGAGGCGGUAUCUAACCAGAAAGCCACGGCUAACUACGUGCCAGCAGCCGCGGUAAUUG